GGGAAAACCUGGACCUGAUGGAGUCCCGGGUUCCCUGGGCCCAAAGGGGCUGCCUGGGAAGCCUGGCUCGGAGGGGCCACAAGGACCUGUUGGCACCUAUGGCUACCCAGGACCUGCUGGUGACCGUGGGAGGCCAGGGCGCAGGGGGGACA